UACAGAGGUCUCAAGCGUUGUUCGGAUUCAUUGGGCGUAAAGGGUGCGUAGGUGGCGGGGUAAGUCUGGUGUGAAAUCCUGGGGCUCAACCCCGGAACUGCACUGGAUACUGCUUUGCUAGAGUACUGGAGAGGGAACUGGAAUUUACGGUGUAGCAGUGAAAUGCGUAGAUAUCGUAAGGAAGACCAGUGGCGAAGGCGAGUUCCUGGACAGUUACUGACACUGAGGCACGAAGGUCAGGGGAGCAAACGGG
rnacentral:rRNA from 1 species